rnacentral:rRNA from 1 species
AGAGUUUGAUUCUGGCUCAGAACGAACGCUGGCGGCGUGGAUAAGACAUGCAAGUCGAACGAGAGAAUUGCUAGCUUGCUAAUAAUUCUCUAGUGGCGCACGGGUGAGUAACACGUGAGUAACCUGCCCCCGAGAGCGGGAUAGCCCUGGGAAACUGGGAUUAAUACCGCAUAGUAUCGAAAGAUUAAAGCAGCAAUGCGCUUGGGGAUGGGCUCGCGGCCUAUUAGUUAGUUGGUGAGGUAACGGCUCACCAAGGCGAUGACGGGUAGCCGGUCUGAGAGGAUGUCCGGCCACACUGGAACUGAGACACGGUCCAGACACCUACGGGUGGCAGCAGUCGAGAAUCAUUCACAAUGGGGGAAACCCUGAUGGUGCGACGCCGCGUGGGGGAAUGAAGGUCUUCGGAUUGUAAACCCCUGUCAUGUGGGAGCAAAUUAAAAAGAUAGUACCACAAGAGGAAGAGACGGCUAACUCUGUGCCAGCAGCCGCGGUAAUACAGAGGUCUCAAGCGUUGUUCGGAAUCACUGGGCGUAAAGCGUGCGUAGGCUGUUUCGUAAGUCGUGUGUGAAAGGCGCGGGCUCAACCCGCGGACGGCACAUGAUACUGCGAGACUAGAGUAAUGGAGGGGGAACCGGAAUUCUCGGUGUAGCAGUGAAAUGCGUAGAUAUCGAGAGGAACACUCGUGGCGAAGGCGGGUUCCUGGACAUUAACUGACGCUGAGGCACGAAGGCCAGGGGAGCGAAAGGGAUUAGAUACCCCUGUAGUCCUGGCAGUAAACGGUGCACGCUUGGUGUGCGGGGAAUCGACCCCCUGCGUGCCGGAGCUAACGCGUUAAGCGUGCCGCCUGGGGAGUACGGUCGCAAGAUUAAAACUCAAAGAAAUUGACGGGGACCCGCACAAGCGGUGGAGUAUGUGGCUUAAUUCGAUGCAACGCGAAGAACCUUACCUGGGCUUGACAUGUAAUGAACAACAUGUGAAAGCAUGCGACUCUUCGGAGGCGUUACACAGGUGCUGCAUGGCCGUCGUCAGCUCGUGUCGUGAGAUGUUUGGUUAAGUCCAGCAACGAGCGCAACCCCUGUUGCCAGUUACCAGCACGUGAAGGUGGGGACUCUGGCGAGACUGCCCAGAUCAACUGGGAGGAAGGUGGGGACGACGUCAGGUCAGUAUGGCCCUUAUGCCCAGGGCUGCACACGUACUACAAUGCCCAGUACAGAGGGGGCCGAAGCCGCGAGGCGGAGGAAAUCCUAAAAACUGGGCCCAGUUCGGACUGUAGGCUGCAACCCGCCUACACGAAGCCGGAAUCGCUAGUAAUGGCGCAUCAGCUACGGCGCCGUGAAUACGUUCCCGGGUCUUGUACACACCGCCCGUCACAUCAUGGAAGCCGGUCGCACCCGAAGUAUCUGAAGCCAACCGCAAGGAGGCAGGGUCCUAAGGUGAGACUGGUAACUGGGAUGAAGUCGUAACAAGGUA